GGUGAAUGGAUGUUGCCUCCUUCUGGUCCAUCGUGCUGAGAGGGCAACUGCAUAUGAAUCUGACAGGUUUGGAGCAGUCAUAGUCCCAAUGUGUUUACUGGUGAACAAAACACUUCAGCAAAGGAGAGUGAGUGAGCAGCCAUGUGGUGCUUGGUUGAUGGGAUAAAACUACAACACCUUGACUGUGAAAUACCUAAAGGCAACUAACUUUGGGUUAUGGCUGCUAUUGGACGGGAUUACCUUUAGCUCCUUCUGUUCAGUGUUUCAGUUACCUAAGUACUUAUAUUGUACUUGGUACAGGAGUUGAGGCAUGGCACCCCAGUGUGCUACACUGGGAAGAUGAUGCCUCCUCUCACAUGGUACUGCAGUCUGAUGAGUAAAAUAUCCACCAGCAAUUAGAACAGAGAAUGUCUGAAAAGGAGCUUUAUCAUAGAAAUGCAAGUUUGUACAAGACGUUGUAGUCCAUGUCAUUCAACUCAAGUGAGAAGCACUUCAGAUGGAAACCACCAGCACUUCCCCCCUGAGGAACAGAGCCUUAGAAAAUGCAUCGGCAGACCAGGGAUGUGAAGAUCACCCACAAAGCACUUUUAGCUUCUCUGUUUAUUGGAAUGGAGAGGAGGCAAUGGAUCUUAUUUUUUUUCUGGCAAGAGGCUGUUUAUUACUGGAUGACACUCAGGAUAACAGGAUAUCAUGAGGUAGUGCCUAGUUAAAGCAUCUCUCAGGUAGCCAGCACAGCCAGAAGGAAAGGCCAAUCUGAAAGAAGGAAGGGACUGGAGUCUCCCUGGAGAGACUGAGAAUGAAAUACAACAUAGUUUUGCCUGCUAUAGUGUGUGGAGUCAAAGGCAUCUGACACUUACGGAAAACAGGGGAUGUAGUUGAUAAAAUCCAGAUGUUCCAGAGUCUUGUCUUUCCUGAAGAUUUGGAAGACACAGCCCAGCAAGGAUCAUUUAAAAACCUUGGGAUUUUGAGUUCCUUGAUUUCUUCAGAAAUACUUGAUAUGUUCAAGUGCUGCACAGAACGUAGGCUUUCACCAGAGGCAAUGUAUGCAUUUGUCUGCAGGCCAGAACAGUCAUCUGCCAUUAGAUGUCAGACUGGUCUGAAUUUUGGAAGAGUCAUCCAAAAAUCUGAUAUGAUAACUGUAAAUGUCUUAGAAUCACUAGGAAGAAAUAGACUUUUCAAAGGCAAGACUGAAAACAGCAGAUUUUGACCCAAGACAAAAUAAAUCACAGUUUAAAAAUGCUCUUUUUCUCUUAAUUGUCAGUAAAGGGAACAUAGAAUAGACAGGGUAGACAUGGAUAAUUGAAUAAGAGGCAUCUAGUUAGGAAAGACAAACCUUCCUCAAAUGUAUAAUGUGAAGGCUGGAACAACUGAUUAAAAAAAAAAUAGCUGUGUUGACAUUCUUGUAAUAUUUGAAUAACUAUAUUUCAUCAGCAACUGUCCUGACUAGAACCACUAAUAGACAAGACAAACUGCUUUGCUUUUGUUGAGGAAAAAAAGACAUCAAGGACAAGUCAGGAUAUCAGUAUGUAGCUGUCUUAUGGCAAAGGUGCAGAAUAUAUCUUCAGCAGAGUUUUACCAUAGAUAGCUAAGCAUGCUAGCUAUCUGACACAACAGCACAUUUUCUUUGCUUUGCUCUUUCCUCUACCCCUUCCUCUUCCCUUCCCCUGUGCUUUCCCCUUUCCUUCUUUACUAGGCAGUUGUAGAAUAUUAAUUUGUGGAAGAAAUAUUAAAAGAAGUUGCAAAGAUCAGACCCUCCUAAAAAUCUUCAGCAUCUCAAGACACAUGCGGGGAAUGCCAGUGGAAUAUGCACUGCUGCUAGUACAAUAUUUUUGUAAGAAGAGGUAAAUCAGAAAGGCAUCCAGUUUAUUAAAGCUGUGACACUCUAAUAGCAUGUGAAAAAUGUGCAGGUUGCUACACACAACAUGUUAACAUUUUCCAAAGGUUGCUUUUGGCACAGGUUGUCAGAAGGAGAACAGACAAUGUGCAGAAAAGCACUAAGACAUCUCAGUUCCUAGAACUGUGGAGAGGUUUAGCCGUUCCAGGUUAUGCACAAGUUUUGCAGUCAGUGCAAGAUGAGGAAGGCAGCAGGAAAUUACAAAACCACCUCAGCAACUUCCCAUGCAAUUUGGAAACCUGAAGGAAAAAUGAGAUGCUACUGGCCAUGCCUUGUAAAUGGGUUCUGUAGUUGGCACAAGCAUGGCUAAAUUUGGGAAACUUUCUGAAAGAUUGCUUCCUGAGAAAAAAAAAGCUUCCUGUUUCUCAGGAUGUGCUUCUGUUCGCACUGCUGCUGAAGGCACGUUGCUGUUCUCUCUUACUUCACAAUCAGUGCCUCCUGGGAUGCUCACUCUGGCACGGAUGUUGGUGGAGCUUUGUACCAGAUGUCAGUGACACCGCUGUCUUGGCUGCAUCCUGGCUCAUACACAGAACCACCUUUUUCCGUGUUAAAGUGAACCUUUUUACCACCUUUUUACCACCUACUUGAGGUUUGCUGUCUAAAUGUCCUGAGACUUUUCCAGCCUGAAAUACUGGCUUUCUCAUUACCCAGGACAAUUCUGCCUGUGUUUCCUGUCCUGUAAUUCAUCUUUCUUGUUUAUCUGAUUAUCAGCAUAUUGCUGGUCAGUUUGCUGUAGAGACAACUUGACCAAAUUAACUCCUUCUUAAAAUAAUUUAUUAAUAAACUCAGGAUACUCAGAUGACUGCUCAGAUGACUCAAAUGAAAUUUAUUCGCAUAGUGUGAAUAAUUCAGCACCUUCAACAAAAAGAAAAGGCCUUAGGAAAUACAGAAUGAGGAUGCUACCCUACUCACUUUCCUUGCUAGGCUUUCCUACAGUCAAAGGACACAGGUCUGCUGCCAAAGUUUGUCCCCAUGACAAGUCUUUCAGACUUAACUUUUCAUAGGAGAGUACAUUUCCAAAUACAGAACCUAUUUUUUUUCAAUAUCAUUAAGAAAUCAAAUAAUAUUGAUAUCCUGGAGAAGUUUCUUCUGUAUGAGUAAUAACUGGUUAACACUAAACAACUUUAGGGGUUUCCAAAAUACCAAUCAAGUCAAUAUUAUAACUAAUUUCCUUGUCUAAACUGUAAAUUAACUUAACUUUAGGCAUAUAUGACUAAAACUUAAGUUUUGACUCUGAACUCAGAAUAGUGGGUGUAUUGAGC